UAUCUGUCGCGGGCGUAGGAAAUUUGAGAGGAGCUGUCCUUAGUACGAGAGGACCGGGAUGGACGUACCGCUGGUGUACCAGUUGUUCCGCCAGGAGCACGGCUGGAUAGCUACGUACGGAAGGGAUAAGCGCUGAAAGCAUCUAAGCGUGAAGCCCCCCUCAAGAUGAGAUUUCCCAGUACGUAAGACCCCUUGAAGACGACGAGGUAGAUAGGUUCGGGGUGGAAGCGCGGCAACGUGUGGAGCUGACGAAUACUAAUCGGUCGAGGGCUUAACUAACUACCCAAG
rnacentral:rRNA from 1 species